rnacentral:rRNA from 1 species
UACGGGGGGAGCAAGCGUUGUUCGGAUUUACUGGGCGUAAAGGGCGCGUAGGCGGCCACCGCAAGUCGACUGUGAAAUCUCCGGCUUAACUCGGAAGGUCAGCCGAUACUGCGGGGCUAGAGUGCAGAAGGGGCAACUGGAAUUCUCGGUGUAGCGGUGAAAUGCGUAGAUAUCGAGAGGAACACCGAUUGCGAAGGCAGCUCGCUGGGACGUGACUGACGCUGAGACGCGAAGCGUGGGGAGCAAAGCAGGAU